UAGUGGCGAACGGGUGAGUAACACGUGGGCAAUCUGCCCUUCACUNUGGGACAAGCCCUGGAAACGGGGUCUAAUACCGGAUAAUACUUUCUCCUGCAUGGGAGAGGGUUGAAAGCUCCGGCGGUGAAGGAUGAGCCCGCGGCCUAUCAGCUUGUUGGUGGGGUGAUGGCCUACCAAGGCGACGACGGGUAGCCGGCCUGAGAGGGCGACCGGCCACACUGGGACUGAGACACGGCCCAGACUCCUACGGGAGGCAGCAGUGGGGAAUAUUGCACAAUGGGCGGAAGCCUGAUGCAGCGACGCCGCGUGAGGGAUGACGGCCUUCGGGUUGUAAACCUCUUUCAGCAGGGAAGAAGCGUGAGUGACGGUACCUGCAGAAGAAGCGCCGGCUAACUACGUGCCAGCAGCCGCGGUAAUACGUAGGGCGCAAGCGUUGUCCGGAAUUAUUGGGCGUAAAGAGCUCGUAGGCGGCUUGUCGCGUCGGAUGUGAAAGCCCGGGGCUUAACCCCGGGUCUGCAUUCGAUACGGGCAGGCUAGAGUGUGGUAGGGGAGAUCGGAAUUCCU
rnacentral:rRNA from 1 species